UUCAACAGCCUUGGAGACUGAAGCCCUCUACCUGCCUACAGAACAGGCACAGCCUGGGCAGCAGCAGUGCUAGCUUCCAACUUUUCCCCACCACCAUGACUCAGCCCAGACCUGGAGGAACCACCUCUAGAGGUGAGAGACCAGCUCAGCCUCCGUGUCUGUGAGAGCCUGGCCUCU
rnacentral:sRNA from 1 species